CCCUUAGAUGUCCUGGGCCGCACGCGCGCUACACUGAUGCAUCCAACGAGUAUUUCCUUGGCCGAGAGGCCUGGGCAAUCUUUUAAACCUGCAUCGUGAUAGGGAUAGAUUAUUGCAAUUAUUAAUCUUGAACGAGGAAUUCCUAGUAAACGCAAAUCAUCAAUUUGCAUUGAUUACGUCCCUGCCCUUUGUACACACCGCCCGUCGCACCUACCGAUUGAAUGGUCCGGUGAAAUCUCGGGAUUGUGGCCAGUUCACUUUAUUGGGAGUUGGCUGCGAGAACUUGCUUAAACCUUAUCAUUUAGAGGAAGGUGAAGUCGUAACA
rnacentral:rRNA from 1 species